GGGCUCCAUCCUUAGCCCAGUUCUCUUCAACAUCAUCAUAAACAAUUUGGACAAAGAACUUGAAGGAAUACUCAUCUGGUAGGUCCCAUGU